GAUGAACGCUGGCGGCAUGCCUAAUACAUGCAAGUCGAGCGAAGCGGGGACGGGUGAGUAACACGUGGAUAACCUCCUAUAAGACUGGGAUAACUUCGGGAAACCGGAGCUCAACCGGAUACUUUUAGAUGGAUCCGCGCGGCAUUAGCUAGUGGGUAAGUUAACGGCUUACCACGGCAACGAUGCAUAGCCUACCUGAGCAGUUGAUCGGCCACACUGGAACUGAGACACGGUCCAGACUCCUACGGGAGGCAGCAGGAGGGAAUCGUCCGCAAUGGGCGAAAGCCUGACGGAGCAACGCCGCGUGAGUGAUGAAGGUCUUCGGAUCGUAAAACUCUGUUAUUAGGGAAGCGGUACCUAAUCAGAAAGCCACGGCUAACUACGUGCCAGCAGCCGCGGUAAUUC
rnacentral:rRNA from 1 species